GUGUCUGUAGUCUUGUGGUAAAAGCCAGCACUCUAGUAUGUGAUUUGGGAGGUUGCAGGUUUGAAUCCCGCCAGACACA